rnacentral:SRP_RNA from 2 species
GCUGGGCAUGGUGGCGCACACCUGUAUUCCCAGCUACUUGGGAAGCUGAGGUGGGAGGAUUGCUUGAGCCCAGGAGUUCGAGGCUGCAGUGAGCUAUGAUUGCACCGCUGCACUCCAGCCUGGGUGACAAAGUGAGACCCUAUCUAAA